rnacentral:lncRNA from 1 species
UGGCUGCUUCCAGCAUUCCAUUCUUAAUUUAUUUUGAUGACAAAAUUGACCCCGUAGUUUGUUUACAUUCGAGUUUGAAACAAUUGAUUGAUUGUUGGUUGCUUUACGCCGCAUUAGCACAAAAAGGCUAUAUCGCGGCGAACUUUGAAACAAUGGAAGUUGUCAAAGAAGUAGCGGAGAUGCAUUUUUAUAGCAAGUAGACCCUGAAAAUCGUGAUUGUGUUGAAGAAAUAAUUCUAAAAAUGAUGAUUGAAAUAAAGAUUUUUAUGUUUUGAUGAGGAUGAUCUAGAAAAUGAUGAAAAAAUAGCGACGUUUAACACUUGGAAGGAAACCUGGAUACACAUGGUCUCGCUUUUGUUGCUGUAAAGAAGUUAAAACUCUGCAAAAUCCAGUGAUGAUAGAUUUCUUUAGUUUAGUUAUUGAUUAAAAUUUAAACUGAUACAUUUUUGGAAAACAACUUGGCACAGUGAGAUGCAGAGGCUAAUUAGCAUCAUGGCACUGCAGUGAACUGAUAAUCUAUUUAUAGCUGGCAGUACUAGGGUUAAGAAAA